GACGAACGCUGGCGGCGUGCUUAACACAUGCAAGUCGAACGGAAAGGCCCUGCUUUUGUGGGGUGCUCGAGUGGCGAACGGGUGAGUAACACGUGAGUAACCUGCCCUUGACUUUGGGAUAACUUCAGGAAACUGGGGCUAAUACCGGAUAGGAGCUCCUGCUGCAUGGUGGGGGUUGGAAAGUUUCGGCGGUUGGGGAUGGACUCGCGGCUUAUCAGCUUGUUGGUGGGGUAGUGGCUUACCAAGGCUUUGACGGGUAGCCGGCCUGAGAGGGUGACCGGCCACAUUGGGACUGAGAUACGGCCCAGACUCCUACGGGAGGCAGCAGUGGGGAAUAUUGCACAAUGGGCGGAAGCCUGAUGCAGCAACGCCGCGUGCGGGAUGACGGCCUUCGGGUUGUAAACCGCUUUCGCCUGUGACGAAGCGUGAGUGACGGUAAUGGGUAAAGAAGCACCGGCUAACUACGUGCCAGCAGCCGCGGUGAUACGUAGGGUGCGAGCGUUGUCCGGAUUUAUUGGGCGUAAAGGGCUCGUAGGUGGUUGAUCGCGUCGGAAGUGUAAUCUUGGGGCUUAACCCUGAGCGUGCUUUCGAUACGGGUUGACUUGAGGAAGGUAGGGGAGAAUGGAAUUCCUGGUGGAGCGGUGGAAUGCGCAGAUAUCAGGAGGAACACCAGUGGCGAAGGCGGUUCUCUGGGCCUUUCCUGACGCUGAGGAGCGAAAGCGUGGGGAGCGAACAGGCUUAGAUACCCUGGUAGUCCACGCUGUAAACGGUGGGUACUAGGUGUGGGGUCCAUUCCACGGGUUCCGUGCCGUAGCUAACGCUUUAAGUACCCCGCCUGGGGAGUACGGCCGCAAGGCUAAAACUCAAAGGAAUUGACGGGGCCCCGCACAAGCGGCGGAGCAUGCGGAUUAAUUCGAUGCAACGCGUAGAACCUUACCUGGGUUUGACAUGGAUCGGGAGUGCUCAGAGAUGGGUGUGCCUCUUUUGGGGUCGGUUCACAGGUGGUGCAUGGCUGUCGUCAGCUCGUGUCGUGAGAUGUUGGGUUAAGUCCCGCAACGAGCGCAACCCUUGUUCACUGUUGCCAGCACGUUAUGGUGGGGACUCAGUGGAGACCGCCGGGGUCAACUCGGAGGAAGGUGGGGAUGACGUCAAGUCAUCAUGCCCCUUAUGUCCAGGGCUUCACGCAUGCUACAAUGGCUGGUACAGAGAGUGGCGAGCCUGUGAGGGUGAGCGAAUCUCGGAAAGCCGGUCUCAGUUCGGAUUGGGGUCUGCAACUCGACCUCAAGAAGUCGGAGUCGCUAGUAAUCGCAGAUCAGCAACGCUGCGGUGAAUACGUUCCCGGG
rnacentral:rRNA from 1 species